rnacentral:rRNA from 1 species
UUAGCCAUGCAAGUCUCAGUACAUGCCGCACUAAGGUGAAACCGCAAAAGGCUCAUUAAAUCAGUUAUGGUUCCUUGGAUCUUAAACAGUUACUUGGAUAACUGUGGUAAUUCUAGAGCUAAUACAUGCAAACAAGUCCCGACCAGAGAUGGGAGGGACGCUUUUAUUAGAUCAAAACCGAUCGGCGUCCGGCUCCGGCCGGCGCCGUCUCUUUUGGUGACUCUGGAUAACUUUUAGCCGAUCGCACGGUCACAGUACCGGCGACGCAUCUUUCAAAUGUCUGACUUAUCAACUGUCGAUGGUAGGCUCUGCGCCUACCAUGGUUGUAACGGGUAACGGGGAAUCAGGGUUCGAUUCCGGAGAGGGAGCCUGAGAAACGGCUACCACAUCCAAGGAAGGCAGCAGGCGCGCAAAUUACCCACUCCCGGCACGGGGAGGUAGUGACGAAAAAUAACGAUACGGGACUCAUCCGAGGCCCCGUAAUCGGAAUGAGUACACUUUAAAUACUUUAACGAGUACCAAUUGGAGGGCAAGUCUGGUGCCAGCAGCCGCGGUAAUUCCAGCUCCAAUAGCGUAUAUUAAAGUUGUUGCGGUUAAAAAGCUCGUAGUUGGAUCUGUGUGCCACGCUGUCGGUUCACCGCCCGUCGGUGUCAACUGGCAUGUCUGUGGGACGUCCUGCCGGUGGCGGUACGGGCUGCCGGCGCUGCGUAGGGGCACAACCCCGAAGCACGCCGGCGUGUCCCGGUCCGCCGAUCCAAUCCCGCCGCGGUGCUCUUCACUGAGUGUCGAGGUGGGCCGGCACGUUUACUUUGAACAAAUUAGAGUGCUCAAAUCAGCUCGUAUUUAGGCCUGAAUACUGUGU